rnacentral:lncRNA from 1 species
ACUAACCACCUUUCUAUCUUACGUCCCAACGCCUCUUCUUCCCCUCUCCACUUCAUGUCCCCACCAAGAUAUAAUAGAGAUCAGAUCUAAGAAGAAAAAAGAGAGAGAAGAAGAGAAGAAGAACAAUUUUUCUUCUCUUCAUGAUGAUUUGGUUCAGAUCCCAUUGGAUCUGUGUGAAAGAGUUCACGCAGCGAUCUUUUUCUUCAAGAUCUUGAAGAAAAGAUCUAGAUCCAAGAAUGAGGAGUGAGAUCUGUAAGAUAUUAAUAUACUGAUGAUCUCGGUGCUUUGAUCAAGCAGCUCCGUCUGGAUACCAGCAGAGAUCGGACGCAUGCGCGGCUACGAUCAGAACCUGGGACAUCCACAGGAUUCGAGAUAUAGAGAUUUGAUCUCUAUUAAUUUUUCUAACCGUUUGUUUUUUAUUCAGAUUUUAGAUCAUGGGUACUUGUUUAUAUCAAGAUCUUUACUAUGAUUUUCAGAUCUAAUUUGAUUUAUGAAUAAAUUAAAAUUAUUUUAAUUUAUUUAUUUUUGCUGCAUAGAUCUUUAGAAAAAAAAUUUUAAACUACACGUACAAAAUCAUGAUGACAUUCUAACAGU